rnacentral:rRNA from 1 species
GAGACCCACGCCAACAGUUGCCAGCACGUUCUCCGGAAUGGUGGGGACACUGUUGGGACCGCCUCUGCUAAAGAGGAGGAAGGAAUGGGCAACGGUAGGUCAGCAUGCCCCGAAUUAUCCGGGCUACACGCGGGCUACAAUGGUCAGGACAAUGGGUAUCGACACCGAGAGGUGAAGGCAAUCUCUUAAACCUGUCCUUAGUUCGGAUUGUGGGCUGCAACUCGCCCACAUGAAGCUGGAAUCCGUAGUAAUCGCGUCUCAAAAUGGCGCGGUGAAUAU